GUGUGGCUCAGUAUAGGCUAAAAGCUUUCCUAAUAGAUAAUGCGUUCUGCAGGGGCACCUGGAGAAGAAGAAGAGGCAGCUUUGAACCUUGGAGUGGUAUUUGCUCUCUGCAUGAUGGGCAGUUAAUGGCCAAAAUCAGCACUUGGUGUAGUGGAUAAGGAGGUGUGGCCCAAAGAAACAAUAAAUGAUGAAUUGAUUGAACUAGAUAUGUAAGUUGAAGUCAGAACAAGAUGUGCUGUCUCCUCAAUACCCCUACAUUCACUUGUUAGAUAAAAGGCUCAAUAUAGGAUUAUUCAGGGAGAAUAAUCACUAGCAGGUGAUGCUUGUUAUAACAUAGAACAAGCUACCUGUGUUUGGGAUAUAACAGAGUGGUUGCAGGUGUGGGUGUGUUGAGCAUGGUUAGCUGUUUGGCUUCACCUGGGAGGCUUUGGAGGAGGUUUGUGGUGGCUGUAGGUAGUGGGGAGUACCAAGACAUGUCUUCUGGCUGGGAUGCAGGGGAGAGAUGUUGGGCUGCUCUCUGUCCAAAAUGAUUGAGGCUCCCUGUGCUUUUGGGCACUUCCAGUCUGGGUGGAUGCAAGUUGGCUCCUGCUGGAAGCGGGUUUUCCCAAAGAGAAGUUGCUUUGAGCUUUGUGUCUGAAAGAGGAGAUUGCAAAAAGAAGGAAACCCAGUCUAUGUUAUAGGAGGUGAAUCUCCAGUAGAGGAAGAUAGAGCCUUGCUUUCUUGUUGGGCAUCAUGGGGGACUUGGCUUUGGCCAAGGAUGCUGUAUUUGUAGGGCUUCUUCCAUAGGGGCUCUACAAGGAAGACUGGUGGUCUCAGCCCCCUGCCUAUGGAUUAGAAGCAGCUGCGAGGAGUGAUGCCCAGGGCUGGACUUCUGGAGGAGCUAAGGCUUCUGGAUUGUGCGUACACUUGUAUUCACUUCCCGUUAACUUCUUGAACACACUUGAUGAGACCCAGUCCGAGCGAGGCCCUCCAGCAGUGAUGAUCAGCCUUUCAUUCCACCCGGGCAGUGAGGAUUGCUCCAGGGGUUGGGCAGAGGCCCCGAGCCCCAUUGGCUACAUCCUGCUCAAUAACCCACAUCGAUUCUACACAGCCCUGGUUGAAAGCAGGGCAAUCUGCAGGAAAGCAGUUGGGCUGAAGCGUGUGAAAUAACGCUUGGAAAGGUCACUUUCCAUCUCAGGGAGAGGGUUCCUGACUUCAGGAGGAGUUGUGGACCAGCUGGUAGGGGCGGU
rnacentral:lncRNA from 1 species